GAAGUGCGACAAGUGUCAUGACUUGCAGAUUCCCGAGAGCUGACAAAUUUCUGAAUGCAAAUGGCGGUCGUCAAAACGGCCAUGUAUUGCAGAGUGUAGUUGUUCAUACUCAUCAUCCCUUGUAUACCAUACAUAUGCGUGUGGACAAGAUUGGGAUCUGCACUUGCGAUCUAAUCACGCGAGUGUCAAGCAAAGGAGUAUCCACACACGUCAAAGUGUGUGGGCAACUUCGGAAUUGAUGUUUUCAACAUCUUGAAUGAAGUUCGAUCUACUCAUACCAUACCUCUACACAAGCCACCUCUGCGAUGCAGGAUAACCCGCUGAACUUAA
rnacentral:misc_RNA from 1 species